GACGAACGCUGGCGGCGUGCUUAACACAUGCAAGUCGAACGGAAAGGCCCUGCUUGCAGGGUACUCGAGUGGCGAACGGGUGAGUAACACGUGGGUGAUCUGCCCUGCACUUCGGGAUAAGCCUGGGAAACUGGGUCUAAUACCGGAUAGGAGCCAUUUUUAGUGUGAUGGUUGGAAAGUUUUUUCGGUGUAGGAUGAGCUCGCGGCCUAUCAGCUUGUUGGUGGGGUAAUGGCCUACCAAGGCGGCGACGGGUAGCCGGCCUGAGAGGGUGGACGGCCACAUUGGGACUGGGAUACGGCCCAGACUCCUACGGGGGGCAGCAGUGGGGAAUAUUGCACAAUGGGCGCAAGCCUGAUGCAGCGACGCCGCGUGGGGGAGGACGGCCUUCGGGUUGUAAACUCCUUUCGCUAGGGACGAAGCUUUUUGUGACGGUACCUAGAUAAGAAGCACCGGCUAACUACGUG
rnacentral:rRNA from 1 species